ACAGCCCGCGUCGCCGGCACCCGGCUUUCCGGCCCUCGUGCGCUCGCCGCGCGCGACUCGAUGGCGGACCCGAAGCUAGGUUCGCUCGGCGGGCAGCGGCCGCGGACCCCGGAGCUGAGCCGUGCGAGCCUGGCGCUCGGCGUUUCUCAGAGCUGAGGCCUGUGUGGGACCGCGGCGUCUGUCAGCGGCUGCUUUCUAGGAGCCGGUCCCGGGACAGAAAGAAGCGGGACGCCGUUACUGACCCGAGGGAGGCGACGCGGAAACCAGAAGGCGCCCACGGCAGAGGGACGACGCGUCCGUCACGGCGGAGGGGCGACGCGUCCACGCUGUUCCAGGCUAUCGCCACGGGCGCUUAGAAAACCCAAAGCGACUGCGGUCGGCCGACUCCCAGUCCUGCCGACUUUGUCGGACACAGUAGAGCUGCCCGUAGGGUGCCCGAGGCUGUAACCUUUACGGAAGCAGAGUGCCACAUCCUUCUCGCGGAGCAGCUGGUAGGUUCCAACCACACGACCUCUCCGUUAGCAGCGCCGCCGGGGCUCCUAGGAGUCAGUAAAUAAAAACCCGUUGAAAUUACAAUGCAGUGAGAUGGUUGUGUAGUGCUUGGGGUCUUAAAAUCUUGCAAGUGGCCAUCCAAGGCACAACAAAUACCUCUAUUCACCUGGAGCAACAGAGGGAGAAGAAGAGUCAGGAAUAGGAGGAGGGAAUGGAAUGUGUGGAUAAUUGCCACCAAGAAGGAUUGUGUUACAUCUGCCACCCACUCACUUCAGGCUCCUGUGCCAAGAGCUGAGCAGAACCCAGCCUAAGACAGUCCUAUUCCAUACCUCCACCUUCACAGAUGACCACACCUGCCUGAGAUGCCCUGCCGCUACAGGGAGCCAGCUGAGGACUCAUCCUGUCUGAGAUCUGGCGUGUCUGGGCGCCAUGAUGUCGCUCUGUCAGGGUCAUGUGUGGACAUCCAGUUUUGCCAGCACCAUCUGUUAAAAAGACUGUCUUUUUAAAAUCUGUUAAGAAAACAUUCUGCAUCCCACUUUGGAGAGUGACAUCUGGGGUCUUCAGCACUAGCAAGCAGCCAUCUAAGAUGCAUCAAUUGGUCUCAACCCACCUGGAUCAAAGGAGAAUGAAGAACACCAAGGACCCAAGGCAAUUACGAGCCCAAGAGACAGAAAGAGCGACAUGAACCAGAGACUACAUCAUCCUGAGACCAGAAAAACUAGAUGGUGCCUGGCCACAACUGAUGACUGCCCUGACAGGGAACACAACAGAGAACCCCUGAGGGAGCAGGAGAGCAGUGGCAUGCGGACCUCAAAUUCUCAUAAAAAGACCAGAGUUAAUGGUCUGACUGAGUCUAGAAGGACCCUGGAGGUCAUGGUCCCCAGACCUUCUGUUAGCCCAAGACAGGAACCAUUCCCAAAGCCAACUCUUCAGAAAGGGAUUGGACUGGACUGUGGGAUAGGAAAUAAUACUGGUGAAGAAUGAGCUUCUUGGAUCAAGUAGACCCAUGAGGCUAUGUGGGCAGCUCCUGUCUGGAGGGGGAGAUGCGAGGGCAGAGGGGGUCAGAAGCUGGCUGAAUGGAAAUGGAAAUAGAGGAUGGAGAGAAGGAGUGUGCUGUCUCAUUAGGGGGAGAGCAACUAGGAGUACAUAGCAAGGUGUAUAUAAAUUUUUAUAUGAAGAGACUGACUUGAUUUGUAAACUUUCACUUAAAAAAGAAAAGCACAAUAAAAAUUAAAAAAAAACAA